AGUGAACGCUGGCGGUAGGCCUAACACAUGCAAGUCGAACGGCAGCACAGUAAGAGCUUGCUCUUACGGGUGGCGAGUGGCGGACGGGUGAGGAAUACAUCGGAAUCUACUUUUUCGUGGGGGGUAACGUAGGGAAACUUACGCUAAUACCGCAUACGACCUACGGGUGAAAGCAGGGGAUCUUCGGACCUUGCGCGAUUGAAUGAGCCGAUGUCGGAUUAGCUAGUUGGCGGGGUAAAGGCCCACCAAGGCGACGAUCCGUAGCUGGUCUGAGAGGAUGAACAGCCACACUGGAACUGAGACACGGCCCAGACUCCUACGGGAGGCAGCAGUGGGGAAUUUUGAACAAUGGGCGCAAGCCUGACCCAGCCAUCCCGGGUGGGUGAAGAAGGCUUUGGGGUUGAAAAGCCCUUUUGUGGGGAAAAAAAAGCAGCAGGUUAAUACCCCGCUGUUCUGACGGUACCAAAAGAAUAAGCACCGGCUAACUUCGU
rnacentral:rRNA from 1 species